rfam:Mesocricetus auratus contig080280, whole genome shotgun sequence.
ACCUCUGAGCCAUCUCUCCAGCCCAAUAAGUAAAUAUUUUUAAAAAACAAAUUAGCUGGGGGCUGGAGAGAUGGCUCAGAGGU